rnacentral:rRNA from 1 species
UACGAAGGGUGCAAACGUUGCUCGGAAUUAUUGGGCGUAAAGCGCGUGUAGGCGGCAGCGCAAGUCGGAUGUGAAAUCCCAUGGCUCAACCAUGGAAGUGCACCCGAAACUGCGUCGCUAGAGUCCUGGAGAGGAAGGUGGAAUGCUUGGUGUAGAGGUGAAAUUCGUAGAUAUCAAGCGGAACACCGGUGGCGAAGGCGGCCUUCUGGACAGUGACUGACGCUGAGACGCGAAAGCGUGGGGAGCAAACAGG